UCUCCACAGUCACAACAAGUCUGAAAAAGGGGUGUCAGCAUGGUUAUUUUGUCAUGGAUUUGAUGACACUGCAAAACAACACGAGAAAAUGGUUUACCUGAUGCCCACAACCGAAUGCCAUGUCCUUUCUAUUAGUAAGACAAAUGGGACAAACCUGCAAGUUUACAAAAAAGAAGAGGCACGGUUAGCGGUAAGAAAUCCAAAUGACAGUUUGUGGUGCAGGCGAUGACGUUGACACCAGCAUUGAAAGAAAGAGUGAUGUCUUUGUUCAUGCAUCAAGAGAGAGGCAGACUUAAAAGCAAAUGUGACAGAAUAGAAAAACUAGUUGAUGAAAACGAAUUGAAUUUCUUUUGAGUACUGGUUUUUGCACCUGAUUAUCAUAAGUAGAACUUGAAUAUGGAGCCGUGUUGACUGAGGUAUCAUAUCCAGAAACUGGUGAGUCAUAUCCAGAGCAAGAAGGUACUGAUGAAUCAUAUCCAGAAUAUGAAGGUACACGUUGCUGAAAGCUGCUUGAGCGUGAAGGUUUUCCUCUGUUGGUGAAAGAAGAUGGUCCAUGAAGAGGUGGGGGCAGAGGAACCCUCUCUGGAGCAUUCCCUGACCGUUGACCCAAUAUGCCAAGCUCAAUGGUUGCUCCGUAUUGAGCAGGUAUUUCCAUCAAUGCUGCAAGAGCAAACUCUGUCUCUUUUCUGGAUUCAUUCACAUUUUUUGACAUUAUUUCUGUGAAAUUCACAAACUGAAAAUUAUCGAAGGCUCGAGCAGGGAUAUUAUCAUCAAACUCUCUCAUCAUGUCCCAAGGUCCAUCACCGACCCCAACUAAAAUUAUUGAUAAAGGGUAUUCACUUGCUUUUACAAUUGCAUCAAUUGUCUUUUUCUCCUGUGGACUGAGUUGACCAUGUUGUGUAUCGACGCUCCUUGUUACCUAUCAUGAUUAGUAGUUACUUUGAGGUAUGAAUAAUAUAAUAUAAUGUAUUGACUAGCCAAGGAUAUAGAAAAACUAUGCCCAUCAUGCAAACAAGGUCCAACUUGAUGGUGACUUGCCUGCCCAUCAGCAAUUAUCAACAGAACAUGGUACUGUCCACCACUUUGCUCAACAAUAGUAAUGGCCAUGUCAAUGAUGGGUGCAAAAGAUGUUGGUCCUGCAAGUUUGAGUUGGGGAACAAUUUCUCUGUACUGUGUUAGCACUUCCUCAAAUCCAUUGCAGAAUCUUUCAUCUUGAUGGAAACUGAAGACAUCUUGAUCAUGAGUGGAUGCAUCUCCAAAUCCAAAACAUGGAAUUAAGUUAUCUUCAUCGAAUGCAGAUAAAGUCCGGCCAAUAAUUGAUAUUGCCUGUUCAUAUGGAUUUUGUCCAUUGCCAAUAUGAUGUAAGCUUCGUCGAUUGAAUGAUCUUGCUCCUGUCCACUCAUUGCUUUUUGUGAAAUCAAUGCCAACAAUGAGAUUAGAAGACUCCAGGCCAGAUUGAGCAAGAGCAGCAGUAACCUGUAGUUAACGAUCUCUAUCAUUUAUCAUCACAAGUUCAGUACUGAAAUUAUCUAACAAAGAGGCACUUUUCCAUCAAAAAAUAUUCACAAUAAAACAACAGGAAAUUCUUACUAAUAGCCAUAAAUAGAAAAAAGUUAUUGAAGAAUAUGUAGAGAGAAAUUAGAGCACUAUAAAGAACAAUAAGAUAUCAUAAGUUUUGGGAUUUAGUAAAUAUCAAUACUCAUGCUCAGAGAGUUAACACCACCAUUAUCAUCAUCGAUAUCUAUACUCAUCACCACCCCUCAGCAGAUCAUGGUCUAAUCCCAACCAAGAACUAAGCACAUAGGCCUUCAUAUCAAUCCCUCACCUUUGGCCUUCCACCACAGCACAGCCUAGUCACUGGAGCCCUUCAGUCUUAUUGCAUAUAGGGUAAGAAUAAAAAGGUCAUAUAAAACAGAAAUAAAUCACAAUUUACAAAUAUACUGAAGAAUCAAUGUCCAACCUGAUCCAAUGUUUUGUAAUCAUCAGCAAUCCUGGAGUAUUUCCUAUCCAACCUCCUCUGUGGCUGAGGCCCUCCUGCUUCAUAACUAUAAGAAGUAGAGGGCUGAUGUUGCUGAGGCGUGUGAUAUUGGUUUUGUUGAGAUGGAUAUGGAUAUGGUGAUUCUUGGGGGUAUCCGUACUGAUUCCAUGAUGAUGAUGAAUUGGAUGCACCGUAUGAUGAAAUAUGCCUCCUACUCGACCCUUUUGAGCUCUUCCCUCCCAUCAAUCAGCUAACAAACUCCUCCAAAUUUCAAGACUCAAAACCUCUUUCUCUCUCUUUUUUUUUUUUGACUUGCAACCUCUUUCUCUCUCUUAUCAACAGCACCUGAAACUUGAAAUAACAAUAAAGUUUGGAAAUGGCAAAAUUGGAGAAUACAAAAGAUCUUGAGAUUUUAUAAUAAAUUUGGUUCCUGCGGGCUUAUCUAAGUCUUCAUAUUGAAGAAGGUAAAGAUAAUUAUAAGGAAAUUUCUGAGUCGACCACGAAAAAUAAACCACCGAUAUGAAACAAAGACCAAGACAAUUUACAAGUCGGCUACAGAAAAUGACCAAUUCAAAGAUCUGCCGCCGACUACAGAAAUGUUUCUGCAAAGAACAGCACUUUCCUGUAAAUUUGAUAGGAAGAAAAUAUAAUACUUGAUUAAAACAUCAAAAACAAGCAGUAUCAGAAGGGGAGCUCAAAUGGGUUUUGCGAGGAGCACGCAACACUGAACUGAUGAUGGAAGCAAAUAAAUAAUAUACACGCAAACUCACAGGCAAGCAAAAAGAAGCACAAACAGAGGCGGCUGUAAGUAUUUC
rnacentral:misc_RNA from 1 species